rnacentral:misc_RNA from 1 species
UUUCCGUAGGUGAACCUGCGGAAGGAUCAUUACCGAGUCGAGGUGGCCGGGCGUCCUCGGGCGCCCGGCCACGGACCUCACCACCCGUGUUUACCGUACCCUGUUGCUUCGGCGGGCCCGCCGCUAAGUCGGCCGCCGGGGGACCACUGGUUCCCGGGCCCGUGCCCGCCGAAGACCCCUCGAACACUGCCUGAAGGUUGCUGUCUGAGCGUUUAAUACAAACAAACAAAACUUUCAACAACGGAUCUCUUGGUUCCG